CCCUUUUUACAACCCACGGUCCUCUCUCUUCCUCUCUCAAUCUUCAGAAAAAGAUUCAGAAAAUCAAAAAAAAAUCAAAAAUCAAAAAUUGAGAGCGACGAAAGCGAAGAUAGCCUAAAUCCACCCUCUAGACCUUUGCAUAUAUACAGUAAAGAUGCAAGCAGACAAAGAAAUGCUUUUGUCUCUAGCCUAAAUCUAGGUUUUCUUGAUUUCUAGGGAUUUGAUCUGGUUUCGAUCCUUUUGCAGCGGGUAAACGUUCGCUGAUGCCGGCAACUUGGAGCAUUGUGCCAAGUAUUUGAACCAGACGCUGGUGACCUUCGGAUUCCCUGCUUCGCUCGAUCUGUUUGCUACGGAUCCGGAAUCAAUUGCAAGGACUUGCAAUUGCAUACAUUCUUUACUUCAGCAGAAGCAGAGGGAUAUUGAGUUUAGGGAGUCGGCUAAUGAUCAGAGGCAAAGGUUUGUUUUUCUUCUGAUAUAUCUUAAUCUUAAUUUAUCUAUUUUAGAAAUAUGUCUUAUGCAGUGCCUCUAAAGACCGAGAGCUCGCCACCUUAACUCGAAAGGAGGCUAAAGCUACCACCGCGUUCAAAGCUCAAAUUGAAAAUCUGCAGCAGGAAAGGGAUGAAUUUCAAAAGAUGGUUAAUUGGU